rnacentral:rRNA from 1 species
GAUGAACGCUGGCGGCGUGCCUAAUACAUGCAAGUCGAGCGAACAGACGAGGAGCUUGCUCCUCUGACGUUAGCGGCGGACGGGUGAGUAACACGUGGAUAACCUACCUAUAAGACUGGGAUAACUUCGGGAAACCGGAGCUAAUACCGGAUAAUAUAUUGAACCGCAUGGUUCAAUAGUGAAAGACGGUUUUGCUGUCACUUAUAGAUGGAUCCGCGCCUCAUUAGCUAGUUGGUAAGGUAACGGCUUACCAAGGCAACGAUGCGUACCCGACCUGAGAGGGUGAUCGGCCACACUGGAACUGAGACACGGUCCAGACUCCUACGGGAGGCAGCAGUAGGGAAUCUUCCGCAAUGGGCGAAAGCUUGACGGAGCAACGCCGCGUGAGUGAUGAAGGUCUUCGGAUCGUAAAACUCUGUUAUUAGGGAAGAACAAAUGUGUAAGUAACUAUGCACGUCUUGACGGUACCUAAUCAGAAAGCCACGGCUAACUACGUG